GAUGAACGCUGGCGGCGUGUCUAAGGCAUGCAAGUCGAACGAUCCAGCCCCAGUUUUUAACUGGAGCUGGAGAGUGGCAAACGGGAGAGUAACACACUGGUACCUACCCCUCAGUCGGGGAUAACAUCGCGAAAGUGGUGCUAAUAUCCGAUAGUCUCUACGGAGUAAAGAUUUAUUGCUGGGGGAGGGGCCUAUGUCCCAUCAGCUUGUUGGUAAGGUAACGGCUUACCAAGGCGACGACGGGUAGGGGGCGUGAGAGCGUGACCCCCCUCACUGGGACUGAGACACUGCCCAGACUCCUACGGGAGGCUGCAGUCGAGAAUCUUCCACAAUGGGCGAAAGCCUGAUGGAGCGACGCCGCGUGCAGGAGGACGCCCUUCGGGGUGUAAACUGCUUUUAUGAAGGACGAAUUUGUGACGGUACUUCAAGAAUAAGGGGCUGCUAAACUCG
rnacentral:rRNA from 1 species